rnacentral:rRNA from 1 species
UACGUAGGGUGCAAGCGUUAAUCGGAAUUACUGGGCGUAAAGCGUGCGCAGGCGGUUUUGUAAGACAGAGGUGAAAUCCCCGGGCUCAACCUGGGAACUGCCUUUGUGACUGCAAGGCUGGAGUACGGCAGAGGGGGAUGGAAUUCCGCGUGUAGCAGUGAAAUGCGUAGAUAUGCGGAGGAACACCGAUGGCGAAGGCAAUCCCCUGGGCCUGUACUGACGCUCAUGCACGAAAGCGUGGGGAGCAAACAGG